ensembl:lncRNA
AGCCAAGGGGGUGCGUUCAGAGGGGGAGUUGAUCUGGAUAGGUUGGAUAGCCGGGCUGAAGCCAAUGGGAUGGGAUUCAACAAGACCAACUGCCGGGUCCUGCACUUUGGCCGCAAUAAGCCCAGGCAACGCUACAGGCUUGGGGCAGAGUGGCUGGAAGGCUGUGUAGAGGAAAUGGAGCUGGGGGUGUUGACUGACGCCAGACUGAACAUGAGCCAGCAGUGUGCCCAGGUGGCCAAGAAGGCCAAUGGCAUCCUGGCUUGUAUCAGAAACAGUGUGGCCAGCAGGAACAGGGAAGUGAUUGUCCCCCUGUACUCAGCACUGGUGAGGCCGCACCUCGAGUGCUGUGUCCAGUUUUGGGCCCCUCACUGUAAGAAAGACAUGGAGGCCCUGCAGCGUGUCCAGAGGAGGGCAACACAGCUGGUGAGGGCUCUGGAGCACAGGCCUUAUGAGGAGCGGCUGAAGGAGCUAGGAUUGUUCAGUCUGGAGAAGAGGAGGCUCAGGGGAGGCCUUAUUGUUCUGUGUAACUGCCUGAAGGGAGGCUGUAGUGAGCUGGGGGUCAGCCUCUUCUCUCGUGUGACAGUGAUAGGACAAGAGGGAAUGGCUUCAAGCUGCGCCAGGGAAGGUUCAGGCUGGACGUUAGGAAAUACUACUGCUCUGAAAGGGUGGUCAGGCACUGCAAUGGGCUGCCCAGAGAGGUGGUGGAGUCACCCACCCUGGUGGUGUUCAAAGAGCGUUUGGAUGUUGUGUUGAGGGACGUGGUUUAGCGGGAACCAUUGGUGAAGGGCGGAUGGUUGGACUGGGUGUUCCUGUGGGUCUUUUCCAACCUUAGCGAUUCUAUGAUUCUAUGAUUUGCCUCUUGCAUGCCCUACAUCGACCCCAAAUGAGAAGAGGAAACGGUUUUCUCCAGGUGCUUCGCUCAGAGGCUGCAGCACCUCUGCUAUGGAGAAAGAAUCAUACAAUCAUAGAAUUACUCAGGUUGGAAAGGACCUCAGAGAUCAUCAGGUCCAAGCGCAGCCUAACCAUAGUCCCCUAACUCUAACAACCCUCCCCGAAAUCAUAUCUCCGAGCACCACAUCCAAACGGCUCUUCAACACAUCCAGGGACGGUGACUCAACCACCUCCCUGGGGAGCCUAUCCCAGUGCUUCACCACCCUUUCUGUAGAGAACUGUUUCCUAACGUCCAUCCUAAAGUUACCUUGGCGCAACUGGAGGCCAUUGUGUCACCAGUGAGAAGAGACCUACCCCGCUUUCACUGUAAGCACCUUUCAGGUACUGCAAGAGAGCAAUGAGGUCUCCCCUCAGCCUCCUCUUCCCCACACUAAGCAGCCCCAGCUCCCUCAGCCUCUCCUCAUAGGGCUGAUUUUCC